UGAGUUUAAUUGAAUUAGUACUAUACUGCCGUCCUAAAGCUAAAGUGUCGUUAACUACCAAAACGAAGUUUCGAGAUAUGAUCAAAAAAGCGCAAAUUUAUAAAGAAAUGAUGCCAUUUGAUAACUAAUAAACGUAUACAAAACUUGAAACUAUAGAAAUGUAGAGCAAACAGAGCACUUUCGAAUAGCUGUAUUUUUAAGUUUCUAGAGUAAAUAAUAAUUAUAGCAGGAGAGUUUUGGCUUUUUAGUCUAGCAUUUUUUCUAACAACGGCUUAUGUUUACAUAACUUAAAUGUCGUUAGAUUACCCUUUAAGACGUUUAUGGCUUGGAUUGCAUUUACUUUUUUUAUCUUU